AAGAACUCCCUACAUCAUUUGAAAAUCUUGUCUCUGUAGAGACAAUAAAUUUAGGAUAUUGUGAAAACCUCACAAGGCUUCCAUCGAGCAUUCAUAAGUUGAAAAAUCUCAAGGCUCUCUAUCUUUACAACUGCUCGAAUCUUGCCAUGUUUCCGAAGAACUUGGAGGAUCCAAUUGAUCCUGAUGGCGAUUUGGGAUUCCCAAGUCUAAGUUGGCUAGACCUUUGUGACUGCAAUUUAUUAGAAGUAGAGUUCCUUGAGAGUGCUUCCAGUUGUCCUGCAUUGACGCACCUAGAUCUUUCAAAUAAUAAGUUUACUCAUCUGCCGACAUGCAUCAACAAGUAUGAUUAUUGGAAAGACUUGUUUGUUUAUAGCUGCAAGGAAAGCAAAGGGGUCAGUGUGGCUGAUGUUUCACCACUCAAGGUAGUUGAGAUUCUUGUAAAUGGAAGAGAGAUGCUUGAAUGGAUUCUCCAGUUUAAAGAGGACUCCAUAUCUUUUAUGAUUCCCCCAGACCUACGUGGCAACUUCUUAGGAUUAGCACUUUGUGUUAUUCUUGGCUAGAAUAAAAAACGCACGUUCGAAAAUCUUUUUGAGGUCAGAAUAUUUGUUAAUGGCAAAAGAGAAUAUUUCCGUUUGACAUUUAUUUCUCCAUUGGAAUCCGAUCAUGUGAAGCUUGUUUAUAUCCCAAGCGACAAUAAGCGAGGAGAAGAGAAGCUUCUGCAAAACAAUUGGAGCCAUAUCCAAGUUUGCUUCGGCGCACCAGAAGGAAGCAUAAAGAAGCGUGGAUUCCGUCUAAUAUGCGAGCAACGGGAGGAUGAUCUGAGGGUCUGUUUUCCAACACCAUCAGCCGGUGGAAACAAAUUGGAGUUUCAAGGAAAGAUACUCGAAGACAAUUCUCAAUCAGUGAAGAAGAUAAUCCAGUGGGACUGAACUCAACAAGAAGAUGAGAUGGUCUUAGCGAUGGCGAGAGUAUGGGUUCAACUCGCACCACUUUUUGAGGUAGCGAUUCUUGGGGAUGCGAACUGGUUGAUCUUGAUUCCAAUGCCUCUUGCUUUUCCCCGUUUUGUCUUGUCUCUACUAGAAAUUUCCAAAUGUCUGCACCUUCAAUUAAAAUUCGCAUAAUGCUACUGACUUGGUUGAGGAACCUUCUAUUUC